rnacentral:rRNA from 1 species
AAUAGAUACCCCGGUAGUCCACGCCGUAAACGAUGAGUGCUAAGUGUUAGAGGGGUUUCCGCCCUUUAGUGCUGCAGCAAACGCAUUAAGCACUCCGCCUGGGGGAGUACGGCCGCAAGGCUGAAACUCAAAGGAAUUGACGGGGGCGCGCACAAGCGGUGGAGCAUGUGGUUUAAUUCGAAGCAACGCGAAGAACCUUACCAGGUCUUGACAUCUCCUGACAACCCUAGAGAUAGGGCGUUCCCCUUCGGGGGGACAGGAUGACAGGUGGUGCAUGGUUGUCGUCAGCUCGUGUCGUGAGAUGUUGGGUUAAGUCCCGCAACGAGCGCAACCCUUGAUCUUAGUUGCCAGCAUUCAGUUGGGCACGUCUAAGGUGACUGCCGGUGACAAACCGGAGGAAGUGGGGAUGACGUCAAAUCAUCAUGCCCCUUAUGACCUGGGCUACACACGUGCUACAAUGGAUGGUACAAAGGGCUGCGAGACCGCGAGGUUAAGCGAAUCCCAUAAAACCGAUUCUCAGUUCGGAUUGCAGG